CAGUCGCCACGGUAAUACGAAGGGUGCAAGCGUUACUCGGAAUUACUGGGCGUAAAGCGUGCGUAGGUGGUGGUUUAAGUCCGUUGUGAAAGCCCUGGGCUCAACCUGGGAAUUGCAGUGGAUACUGGGUCACUAGAGUGUGGUAGAGGAUAGUGGAAUUUCCGGUGUAGCAGUGAAAUGCGUAGAGAUCGGAAGGAACAUCUGUGGCGAAGGCGACUAUCUGGGCCAACACUGACACUGAGGCACGAAAGCGUGGGGAGCAAACAGGAUUAGAUACCCCCGUAGUCCCUGUCUCUUACAC
rnacentral:rRNA from 1 species